GACGAACGCUGGCGGCGUGCUUAACACAUGCAAGUCGAACGAAGAGCGACGGAAGCUUGCUUCUAUCAAUCUUAGUGGCGAACGGGUGAGUAACGCGUAAUCAACCUGCCCUUCAGAGGGGGACAACAGUUGGAAACGACUGCUAAUACCGCAUACGAUCUAAUCUCGGCAUCGAGGAUAGAUGAAAGGUGGCCUCUACAUGUAAGCUAUCACUGAAGGAGGGGAUUGCGUCUGAUUAGCUAGUUGGAGGGGUAACGGCCCACCAAGGCGAUGAUCAGUAGCCGGUCUGAGAGGAUGAACGGCCACAUUGGGACUGAGACACGGCCCAGACUCCUACGGGAGGCAGCAGUGGGGAAUCUUCCGCAAUGGACGAAAGUCUGACGGAGCAACGCCGCGUGAGUGAUGACGGCCUUCGGGUUGUAAAGCUCUGUUAAUCGGGACGAAAGGCCUUCUUGCGAAU
rnacentral:rRNA from 1 species